AUUAACCCCACCCACACAGGUGCGUUCACUGACUGUAACGUUCAGGUACACCUGGGUGUGAACUGAGGGCAGGUUCACUGAUGCGUUCAGGUACACCUGGGUGUGAACUGAGGGCAGGUUCACUGAUGCGUUCAGGUACACCUGGGUGUGAACUGAGAGCAGGCUCACUGAUGCGUUCAGGUACACCUGGGUGUGAACUGAGGGCAGGCUCACUGAUGCGUUCAGGUACACCUGGGUGUGAACUGAGAGCAGCUCCCUGAUGCGUUCAGGUACACCUGGGUGUGAACUGAGGGCAGGCUCACUGAUGCGUUCAGGUACACUGGGAGUCUGUGCUAACGGGAGCAGAUGA